UCCGUAGGCGGGUAAUUAAGUCAGAGGUGAAAUCCCACAGCUUAACUGUGGAACUGCCUUAGAUACUGGUUAUCUUGAGUUUUAGUGAAGUAGAUAGAAUGUGUAGUGUAGCGGUGAAAUGCAUAGAUAUUACACAGAAUACCGAUUGCGAAGGCAGUCUACUAACUAACAACUGACGCUAAUGAACGAAAGCGUGGGGAGCGAACAGGAUUAGAUACCCUGGUAGUC
rnacentral:rRNA from 1 species